rnacentral:snRNA from 1 species
AAUUUCUGGUUUCUCUUCAGAUUGUAUAAAUCUUUCACUUUUUACUAAAGAUUUCUGUGGAGAUGAACAAGCACGAGUGUCAAGGAAUUUUCUGAGACUCCAAUGGAGCU